AUACAGAGGGUGCGAGCGUUAAUCGGAAUUACUGGGCGUAAAGCGCGCGUAGGCGGCUUGGUCAGUCGGAUGUGAAAGCCCCGGGCUCAACCUGGGAACGGCAUUCGAUACUGCCAGGCUAGAGUAUGGGAGAGGGAAGUGGAAUUUCCGGUGUAGCGGUGAAAUGCGUAGAUAUCGGAAGGAACACCAGUGGCGAAGGCGACUUCCUGGCCCAAUACUGACGCUGAGGUGCGAAAGCGUGGGGAGCGAACAGGAUUAGAAACCCUAGUAGUCC
rnacentral:rRNA from 1 species